rnacentral:rRNA from 1 species
UACGUAGGGGGCAAGCGUUGUCCGGAAUUAUUGGGCGUAAAGAGCGUGUAGGCGGUCCGGUAAGUCAGCUGUGAAAGUCAAGGGCUCAACCCUUGAAUGCCGGUUGAUACUGUCGGGCUAGAGUCCGGAAGAGGCGAGUGGAAUUCCCGGUGUAGCGGUGAAAUGCGCAGAUAUCAGGAGGAACACCGGUGGCGAAGGCGGCAUCCUGGACCAUGACUGACGCUGAGGAGCGAAAGCCAGGGGAGCAAACGGG